GACGAACGCUGGCGGCGUGCUUAACACAUGCAAGUCGAACGGAAAGGCCCUGCUUUUGUGGGGUGCUCGAGUGGCGAACGGGUGAGUAACACGUGAGUAACCUGCCCUUGACUUUGGGAUAACUUCAGGAAACUGGGGCUAAUACCGGAUAGGAGCUCCUGCUGCAUGGUGGGGGUUGGAAAGUUUCGGCGGUUGGGGAUGGACUCGCGGCUUAUCAGCUUGUUGGUGGGGUAGUGGCUUACCAAGGCUUUGACGGGUAGCCGGCCUGAGAGGGUGACCGGCCACAUUGGGACUGAGGUACGGCCCAGACUCCUACGGGAGGCAGCAGUGGGGAAUAUUGCACAAUGGGCCGAAGCCUGAGGCGGCAACGCCGCGUGCGGGAUGACGGCCUUCGGGGUGUAAACCGCUUUCGCCUGUGACGAAGCGUGAGUGACGGUAAUGGGUAAAGAAGCACCGGCUAACUACGUG
rnacentral:rRNA from 1 species